rnacentral:rRNA from 1 species
GCUCCAGACUCCUACGGGAGGCAGCAGUGAGGAAUAUUGGUCAAUGGCCGUAAGGCUGAACCAGCCAAGUAGCGUGAGGGAAGACUGCCCUAUGGGUUGUAAACCUCUUUUAUGCGGGGAUAAAGGUGUCCACGUGUGGAUGUUUGCAGGUACCGCAUGACUAAGGACCGGCUAAUUCCGUGCCAGCAGCCGCGGUAAUACGGAAGGUCCGGGCGUUAUCCGGAUUUAUUGGGUUUAAAGGGAGCGUAGGCGGGUCUUGAAGAGUGCCGUGAAAUGUUGUGGCUCAACCAAGGGAGUGCGGCGGGAACUGGAGACCUUGAGGGCGGGGAAGGCAGGCGGAAUUCCUGGGGUAGCGGUGAAAUGCUUAGAUAUCAGGAAGAACCCCGAUUGCGAAGGCAGCCUGCCGCAGCGUUACUGACGCUGAAGCUCGAAAGCGCGGGUAUCGAACAGGAUUAGAUACCCGUGUAA